rnacentral:rRNA from 1 species
UACGUAGGAGACGAGCGUUGUUCGGAGUUACUGGGCGUAAAGGGUGCGUAGGCGGUUGUUUAAGUUUGGUGUGAAAUCUCCCGGCUCAACUGGGAGGGUGCGCCGAAUACUGAAUGACUAGAGUGCGGGAGAGGAGAGUGGAAUUCCUGGUGUAGCGGUGAAAUGCGUAGAUAUCAGGAGGAACACCGGUGGUGUAGACGGCUCUCUGGACCGUAACUGACGCUGAGGCACGAAAGCGUGGGUAGCAAACAGG